rnacentral:rRNA from 1 species
UGGGGAAUAUUGCACAAUGGGCGAAAGCCUGAUGCAGCAACGCCGCGUGAGUGAUGAAGGCCUUCGGGUUGUAAAGCUCUGUCUUUUGGGACGAUAAUGACGGUACCAAAGGAGGAAGCCACGGCUAACUACGUGCCAGCAGCCGCGGUAAUACGUAGGUGGCAAGCGUUGUCCGGAUUUACUGGGCGUAAAGGAUGCGUAGGCGGAUUUUUAAGUGAGAUGUGAAAACCCUAAGCUUAACUUGGGGACUGCAUUUCAUACUGGAAAUCUAGAGUGCGGGAGAGGAGAAUGGAAUUCCUAGUGUAGCGGUGAAAUGCGUAGAGAUUAGGAAGAACACCAGUGGCGAAGGCGAUUCUCUGGACCGUAACUGACGCUGAGGCAUGAAAAGCGUGGGUAGCAAAACAGGAUUAGAUACCCUGGUAGUCCACGCCGUAAACGAUGAGUACUAGGUGUAGGAGGUAUCGACCCCUUCUGUGCCGCAGUUAACACAAUAAGUACUCCGCCUGGGAAGUACGAUCGCAAGAUUAAAAACUCAAAUGAAUUGAC